rnacentral:lncRNA from 1 species
UCUCUGCAACAGUAAAAGCAUUCAAACUGCAUUCAGUAAUGGAACACCUACCCGGUGGUUUUGAUGGAUGCUGAUAGCUUCCAAUACAAUCUUAAAGCAUGGAGUUUUUUUAGUACAAAUAGUAGGCUACCAACAGCAACCGAAAUCAUACUGGUAAAACAUUUCCAGGUACCUUGUCAGUCAUCUGGUUGAGUGGGAGCUGAAUGUUUGAUAUUAUCUGUAAAUGAAUGGGAUAUAAUAUUAGAUUCUGAGAAUUCAUAAGAAUAAGUGUAUAUCAGAUUUCUUCAACUCAAGUCUGCCAUGAGGAGCAGAAAAACUGCUAAAUAAGUUGGAAUUUGCUACUUAAAGGGGCCUUCAUUAGGUCUGUUCAACUUUCAGGAUUUGUGCUUUAUCUUUGGGGAUCUCUAGAGCUUCUUAUCAUGAACUCAAAUCCAUGUGGUAGCAAUACUUGUACAAGUGCAGGUAUCUAGAACUUACUGCACUUGAAUCUUUGAAAUUUAUAAUAUCUUCCUUGCCCUAAGAUACGAGUACAUAAGAAAAAAUGCCACAACAGCACCAACAAUUAUCCCAGCUGUUGUUAGCCAAAAGGCAAACUGCAUCAAUCCAAACAAGAGGGUAAAAAUAUAUUAAUAACAGUGAUAUAACCUCUCUGAUGGUCAUGGCAACAAGAUUGAGAAGUUAGCAGAACAGGUAAGGAAGGAACAAUAUUAAAGACUUAACAUACCGC